UGAAACGAGCCAGAACGGGGAACGUGA
rnacentral:piRNA from 1 species